rnacentral:rRNA from 1 species
CGGUCCUACGGGAGGCAGCAGUGAGGAACAUUGGUCAAUGGCCGGAAGGCUGAACCAGCCAAGCCGCGUGAAGGACGAAGGUGCCAAGCAUUGUAAACUUCUUUUGUCAAGGGACAAAAUCAGGCUCGAGAGCCUGACCGAGGGUACUUGAAGAAAAAGCAUCGGCUAACUCCGUGCCAGCAGCCGCGGUAAUACGGAGGAUGCGAGCGUUAUCCGGGUUUAUUGGGUUUAAAGGGGGCGUAGGCGGACUGUUAAG